rnacentral:rRNA from 1 species
GUGGGGAAUCUUGCACAAUGGGGGAAACCCUGAUGCAGCGACGCCGCGUGAGCGAUGAAGCCCUUCGGGGUGUAAAGCUCUUUCGGCAGGGACGAUAAUGACGGUACCUGCAGAAGAAGCUGCGGCUAACUACGUGCCAGCAGCCGCGGUAAUACGUAGGCAGCAAGCGUUGUUCGGAAUUACUGGGCGUAAAGAGUGCGUAGGCGGUUAGGUAAGUCCGUUGUGAAAUCUCCCGGCUCAACUGGGAGGGUGCAGCGGAAACUGCCUGGCUAGAGUGUGGGAGAGGGAAGUGGAAUUCCUGGUGUAGCGGUGAAAUGCGUAGAUAUCAGGAGGAACACCUGCGGUGUAGACGGCUUCCUGGACCACUACUGACGCUGAGGCACGAAAGCGUGGGGAGCAAACAGGAUUAGAUACCCGAGUAGUCC